GUCAGCUUAUUCGUUUGCAGACUAGAAAAAUGGCGAACAGCCAUCAAAAUACUUCAAAAUACACAUCUUUCACUGGACACACAAAUGGGUGCGCGCAGCAAAAUUCAGCCCCAAUGGCGAAUGUGUGCGAACGUUCACUGGGGGAAGAGGUAUGGGACGACAGCUGGCAUCGCAUCCAGACGGCUUUAGCAUUAAGUUGUAACCGCGUUAAGAUAUUUGACAUAGCUGAAGGCGAGCUAAUACAGUGCAUUCGUCGCCGGAGAAUGAUGUUGCAUUUCACCCAAGUGGAAAUUUCUUGGUGACUGGCGGCGAUGACGAUACAAUAAGAUUGCUUGAUUUAUUAGAAGGUCGACCAAUUUAUACAAGUUGCUCGUUUGGAAAUCUAAUUUGCAUACAUUUGAUGCCAAUAGCUCUCGCAACAAACAAGCCAGUUGAUUUUAGUCAUGCACAGGGAUGCCGUUGGGAUCUAAAUAGAUCCAAUUGGAUACAUUUUU